AUUGAACGCUGGCGGCAUGCUUUACACAUGCAAGUCGAACGGUAACAGGUUAAGCUGACGAGUGGCGAACGGGUGAGUAAUGCAUCGGAACGUGCCCGAUCGUGGGGGAUAACGCAGCGAAAGCUGCGCUAAUACCGCAUACGAUCUGAGGAUGAAAGCGGGGGACCGUAAGGCCUCGCGCGAUCGGAGCGGCCGAUGUCAGAUUAGGUAGUUGGGGGGGUAAAGGCCUACCAAGGCGACGAUCAGUAGCUGGUCUGAGAGGACGAUCAGCCACACUGGGACUGAGACACGGCCCAGACUCCUACGGGAGGCAGCAGUGGGGAAUUUUGGACAAUGGGCGAAAGCCUGAUCCAGCAAUGCCGCGUGUGUGAAGAAGGCCUUCGGGUUGUAAAGCACUUUUGUCCGGAAAGAAAUGGCUCUGGUUAGUACCUGGGGUCGAUGACGGUACCGGAAGAAUAAGGACCGGCUAACUACGUGCCAGCCGCCGCCGUAA
rnacentral:rRNA from 1 species